CCCGGGAAAGUAGUAGCUGUUGUCCGAAGAGAGUAAGACGAAAGCAGAUCGAAGCAGAUGAUGGUACACGUAUUAUGAAUUGGAAUGGAGGAAAGUAAAAAAAAAGCUGAUCAUCCUUCUCCAUCUUCGUCACCUCCAACACCUCCCUCGCCCCUUCCCAUCAGUGUCGGACCAGGCAACCAAAAGUAUGUCUUCUCUUCAUCUCCAUCCCCUUCCCCGCCCUUCUCCAACCAUACUUCCGCCGACAAUCUCCCUCUUUUGACCGCUGCUGCAGCGCCGUUUGCUAUUUCCUUGGAUCGUCCAUACCAGGAUGAUUUGGAUUCUACCACCUCUUGCCUCAAAGACUUGCUUGAUUGGUUUAUACAGAAAUGCUGCAGUUGCUGUUCCAACAGGCCUCUCUGAAUUUUCAUAUGCAACACAAUUGCUAACGUCUCCGCUAACUCAUUACGAAGUCGUUUUUUGUUUUCUUUUUUUCUUUUUCUUUUUUUCUCUUUUUUGGAAGAUGGGGUGGGGGGGCAGACAAGCCUCAAAUGAUUUUUUUGGCACUGCUACCACAAGUCUAUGGGUGAAGUAAUUGUAACCAUUCUUGAAACUUGCAAAUGUUUUAGAAUUAUGACGUCAAUUCUUUUAUCCCUUU